GUGUGUGUGUGUGUCUCUGUGUGUGUGUGUCUCUGUGUGUGUGUGUGUGUGUGUCUGUGUGUGUGUGUGUGUGUGUCUCAGUCCAACACUUAACAUGACAAUGUUUCUAAGUGAUGAACGUUGCCUCUUACUCCUGGCUCUCAGGAGGAGGAGCGUCAGAAGAAGGAGGUGGAGGAACAGCAGGAGGAUGAGGACGGCUGGGUUAAAGUGACCAAAGGAGGCAAAAGCAUGAAGUCCCGCCCACACAGCGAGGCAGCCAAUCAGAGAGUGCUUCAGAAAGAACACAACAAGAAAAAGAGGAAAGAGCUGCUGAACUUCUACACAUGGCAACAUCGCGAUUCAAAGAGAGAACAUAUUGCUGAAUUAAGGAGGAAGUUUGAGGAAGAUAAGCAGCGCAUUGCUUUACUUAGAGCACAGAGGAAAUUCAGACCUUACUGAGAUACAACACACACACCAUUUUCUGUAGUAAAUAAAAUUUUAUAAAUAUUUUUUG